GUUUUCCUCAAGAAGCCACAGCCGUCCAAUAAUUGGCCAUGCAUAAGGUUGUUGGAGUGCCAAUAGUGCGUGACCAUACCCAAUGUGUGCCCUCCACUCUUCGCAUCUCUGCCAACUGCCACAAGUAUUAACGGCAACCUGCACAGAAACUUGAUUAAAUGAUCAGCAAUGAGCUGCUUUACAAGUCUGGGAAAAUCACAGAAGUACCUUUUCUGCUGUGGCUUUCUAGCCUUCUGUAGGAGUUUAAAGUAACAUUUCAGAAUAUUUGUUUCUAUUAAUCAGUAAUGUUUCUUGGUUGCCAGAUCACAUGAAAUACUUGUAUGGAUGGUGAUGAUGCAAUGACAUAAUGAAAGAUUAAGUGAAUCAGAAGUAGGAAAAUAAAUUCUCUGAUGCUUUUAAUCUUUUGUACACAUUGGAGUUGUAUACCAAUAGAAAUAAUCUGGUUUAUUU